CUUAAGCAUAUCAAUAAGCGGAGGAAAAGAAACCAACAGGGAUUGCCCUAGUAACGGCGAGUGAAGCGGCAACAGCUCAAAUUUGAAAUCUGGCCUCGGCCCGAGUUGUAAUUUGCAGAGGAAGCUUUAGGCGCGGCACCAACUGAGUCCCCUGGAACGGGGCGCCAUAGAGGGUGAGAGCCCCGUAUAGUUGGACGCCUAGCCUGUGUAAAGCUCCUUCGACGAGUCGAGUAGUUUGGGAAUGCUGCUCAAAAUGGGAGGUAAAUUUCUUCUAAAGCUAAAUACCGGCCAGAGACCGAUAGCGCACAAGUAGAGUGAUCGAAAGAUGAAAAGCACUUUGAAAAGAGGGUUAAAUAGCACGUGAAAUUGUUGAAAGGGAAGCGCUUGUGACCAGACUUGCGCCGGGCGGAUCAUCCGGUGUUCUCACCGGUGCACUCCGCCCGGCUCAGGCCAGCAUCGGUUCUCGCGGGGGGAUAAAGGUCCCGGGAACGUAGCUCCUCCGGGAGUGUUAUAGCCCGGGGCGUAAUGCCCUCGCGGGGACCGAGGUUCGCGCAUCUGCAAGGAUGCUGGCGUAAUGGUCAUCAGCGACCCGUCUUGAAACACGGACCAAGGAGUCAAGGUUUUGCGCGAGUGUUUGGGUGUAAAACCCGCACGCGUAAUGAAAGUGAACGUAGGUGAGAGCUUCGGCGCAUCAUCGACCGAUCCUGAUGUUUUCGGAUGGAUUUGAGUAGGAGCGUUAAGCCUGGACCCGAAAGAUGGUGAACUAUGCUUGGAUAGGGUGAAGCCAGAGGAAACUCUGGUGGAGGCUCGCAGCGGUUCUGACGUGCAAAUCGAUCGUCAAAUCUGAGCAUGGGGCGAAAGACUAAUCGAACCAUCUAGUAG
rnacentral:rRNA from 1 species